rnacentral:lncRNA from 1 species
CAUUUAAAUAUGCCAAAGAUUCAACCUUGGACGGCCACUGCAACAACUACUUUCUCACACCUUGUCGUUUCUCAGAAUUUCAGAUCUUCUUCUUCUGCAAAACAAGUCAAGAAGAGGACGAUUGAGAGAAAAUGUGUGUGUCUUGGAGUGAGGGUUUAAGGGUGGAAGUGGAAAGGAGGCAUGGUCGGAGGAGUGAGUGAUCACUGAUUGAGGGAAGAAGAAGGAACACGGCCACAUGGAUUUAAUAAUUUUAAAACAUAAAAAAAAAAAUCCAAGUCAGCUCAAAUUAACGCCGUUUGCUACCACUUAACGGAUGGGAUACGAUGUGUUCAUUUUUGCAAAAUUUGUGACUAAAUUGAGACGGUUGCAAAAUAGAGGACCAAAAUGAGAUAAGUUGACAAACUAGAGGACCAAAUAAGGUAUUAAGCCUAAUAUUUAAAAUGUUUUUAACAAUAUUAUUAAAUCAUUUAUACUUCAAAUUAUUUCUAAAAGUUGAUCAAACAAAAUAAUUGAUUAAGGCAAAUAAGAAUGAUGUUUCCUUCUUUUUUCUUUCUUUUUUUUCUUCAUCCAUUAGGGUGUCUUCUGCUCCCUCCAAAAUGGUUUUUAUCCUUUUGGUUAUAUGACCUUUAUCG